rnacentral:tRNA from 1 species
GCCCGAGUGGUGAAAUUGGUAUACACGCAUGCUUCAGGUGCAUGUGCCGCAAGGUGUGGAGGUUCAAGUCCUCUCUCGGGCACCA